GUACUACUGAAGAGUCCCAAGAAGGGCGAAACAGCCGUCCAGUAU
rnacentral:hammerhead_ribozyme from 1 species